CUUCAGGUUGUAGUUGAGACUUCAUUUAUGCCGAGUAUGCUGUAGCAGCUGAACAUCGUCAUCGCUCAAAUGUGUAGGAGUGCCUGCUUUCCAUGAUGUACCGAUGUCAUUGAUGUGCCUUUUGUGAUGAGAAAGGAACUAGGUAUUGCAGAUGAUGUUACGGUGGUCAUUUUCUACAUUUGAGGACAGAUUGCCAAGAUAAAUAGAGGAUGCAUGGAUAAGUUGUUUUUGGCAAGGCGGAGAAUGG